ACGGGGGGUGCAAGCGUUAAUCGGAAUUACUGGGCGUAAAGCGCACGUAGGCGGUUUAUUAAGUCAGAUGUGAAAUCCUCUGGCUCAACCAUGGAACUGCUUUGGAUACUGGUAAGCUAGAGUGUGGUAGAGGUGGGUGGAAUUCCAGGUGUAGGGGUGAAAUGCGUAGAGAUCGGGAGGAAUACCGGUGGCGAAGGCGGCCCCCUGGAACAGUACUGACGCUGAGGUGCGAAAGCGUGGGGAGCAAACAG
rnacentral:rRNA from 1 species